rnacentral:rRNA from 1 species
AUUGAACGCUGGCGGCAGGCUUAACACAUGCAAGUCGAGCGGUAGCACAGGGGAGCUUGCUCCCUGGGUGACGAGCGGCGGACGGGUGAGUAAUGUCUGGGAACCUGCCUGAUGGAGGGGGAUAACUACUGGAAACGGUAGCUAAUACCGCAUAACGUCGCAAGACCAAAGAGGGGGACCUUCGGGCCUCUUGCCAUCAGAUGUGCCCAGAUGGGAUUAGCUAGUAGGUGGGGUAAUGGCUCACCUAGGCGACGAUCCCUAGCUGGUCUGAGAGGAUGACCAGCCACACUGGAACUGAGACACGGUCCAGACUCCUACGGGAGGCAGCAGUGGGGAAUAUUGCACAAUGGGCGCAAGCCUGAUGCAGCCAUGCCGCGUGUGUGAAGAAGGCCUUCGGGUUGUAAAGCACUUUCAGCGAGGAGGAAGGUGGUGAGCUUAAUACGUUCAUCAAUUGACGUUACUCGCAGAAGAAGCACCGGCUAACUCCGUG